ensembl:lncRNA
GUCCUGUCCAACUCUUUGUGACCCCAUGGACUGCAGCAUGCCAGGCUUCUGGGUCAAUCACCAACUCCCUAGAGCUUGCUCAAAACUUGCAAGCAGUUAUUUUUAGUCCUUUAGUUUCUUUAUAUUCUGUUGCUCAAGCAGACAUUUGUCCACAUGCAAACACUGUAGCAAAGGGUCCCAAGUCCUCAGUCUCUCUCAUUCCCCCGCUGUGAGCUUUUGCACCCCUUAUUUUUAAGGGUUAAGGGGCUGAAGUUUUCCUCUUCUGAAGCAUCUUCUGGCUGGACAAGGGGUCUCAGACCCUAGCUUACAUUAGAGGUUUAGAAGUCCCUUGCUGACUGUUUCAAGGACAUGUAGGGACCUGGGCCACCCUCUGCUGGAAUGGAUUGAAACCCUUGAGUCAUAAUGAGCCUAACUUGAAAUUGCUGGAGCCUAGAAGAUACAAAGUUAACCAAAAGAUUAACCAGACAAGAGCCGAAAAAAGCCACUAACGGGCCUAGAAAUGGAAGAAACCAAGUUAACUUUGGGAGUAGGGCUCCUGUCAGUGUUGACCAGACAGUGAGAUUGUGUUGCUCUUGCCACAAUUGUGACGCCGUUCUGCAUGGGCAGGUUGAAUUGGAUUGACAGGUGGAUGAGAUAUUUCUUUCAACCAUUCACACUCCCCUUCCAUGUUGUUUAGGAAGACGGAGCCAUAGUUUGAAACAGGACACGGGAG